GGGCUCCGGCUCCCCGGCUCUUGCAAAGUUGCAAUCACGAGUCGAUUCCACGAACCUCUGCUUCCCCGUCGCCGCCGCCGCGACCUCUGCCUCGCUGCUGCUUCCGCCGGCGGCGCGACCUCUGCCUCGCUGCUGCUUCCGCCGGAUCUGUAGGGCCUCGCUGCUGCUUCCGCGGACGGCAUCUAGUUCCGCCGGCGCUCAGUUUCUCCAUCACUCCUGCAAGGGAGUUCCCAACAAGGGCGCCUGGGAGUUCGCCACCCGACCAGCUGACGUAACGUGAAGGCAGAAGUGAAUCCGUUACUUUGGAAUGGUUUUUUUAGUGGGUGGAAUUCAUGGAUAGAUCAUUGGUUUGGUUAGAUGUGGGGUGAAAUUAAGUCACGGUUUGGUGUGGUUUGGGUUUUGCCCAUCAAUGAACAGGUUGGGGUGGGUAGAUUAAUCAUCUAAUGCUGCACAUGGGCUGGCGUGGGUACGGUGUGGAUUCCAGCCCAUUUGAGCGUCCCUCCUCUUUGCGCAAUACUACCCACCAGCACAGCCGCUGCUCCUGCGCAAUGGCAUCAAUGAUAUUUUAGCAUGGACCAACCAUAGCUCUUUAUAUAACAUUAGUCCGUUGCAACGCACGGGCAUUUGUGCUAGUCUAGAAAAUAAAUGUGCCAUGCGUGUUGGGAUAGAGAAAAACCAAAGAGCAUCGACAAGCUUUGCAAA